AGGGGAAAAGAUCUCUCUCUUCCCCGUCUCUUCCCACCCCUCUCACGCCUCGUCUUUUCCACCUCCGCCUCCAUCACCUCCUCCUCCCCUGCCUCCGCACCCGACCACGCGCUGUGGACGAGGAGGCAACAGCUCGGGAGGCAGGCAAGAGGAAAACGGGAGGGAUCCCCUCCCGAGCCCCGCGCCUCUCCUCUUUCCCACUGCGCCGCCAGCCCCUUUCCCUCCCAUCUUGAGCUGCUGCAGCUCCUCCCUUAACCCGCGGCGCGCCUUCUUCUCCGACCGUUGUUGCCCGCACUGCUACCGCCAUGGCCUGCUACUGCUCCUCCUCCAGCUCCUCGCCCCAGCAACGCUUCCUCCCCUCCUCUCAUGCAAGGCGUCUUGGGGUGUGGAGGCGGCGGGGCAGCAGCCAGUCGUUGCCCUGCAGGUCGGCUUUCCUGUUGUGGCGGCGACACGUCUAGAGGAACCGGUCGCCCUUCUCCUGGAUGAGCGCCGGAGCCGAAAAGCCGGAACUGACCAUUGAGGAGCUGGGGCAGCCGUGCCACAUAGGAAGGUUGAGGUGGACCAGGAGAAGCUGCACGAGGCUCCAUCGCCUCCUGCUCAAAUUUGGUUUCUCUAUGCCUACAUGGUGUUUGAUGAAAAUCCAAGAAGGACGGGGAGGAUUGAUCUAUGCGGAUAAGAGAAGAAAACUGAAACAUGUUCACUAGAGUGGCCUGGGGUGGCCUGCGAGCUACGAGGAUGGGGCUGCGAGACUGGAUUGGCAGCCGACAGCGAGAGAGGAAGGGUGGUUGUUCCUGUGAUGAGGUGGUGAUGAUUGCCAUAGUGGAAUUUUGUAGGUACGACGGCGGCGAGCUUUGAGGGCCCCCGGUUUGGUGGCAGCAUGAGCCUCGUGGAGUUGUCUCAGACAACAUCACAUCUAUUUGUUUUUGUUUCCCCACUUAGACUACUGCUUUGAUUCUGAAGUGUGGAGAUGGAUGUGACUUACCAUGGAGGAAGUGGGUACAAUAUCCAUUUGAAAGAUGCAGCAGGCUCAAAAUAAGUUUCCGGUGCAAGUGUAGCUGCAAGCCAGAUUGGUUCUUACAGCAAUGGAGUGAUUUGUACCCUGCAAAGUUCCUCUCUUGGUUCACUGACACGAUCAACCUAUGUGCACGUAGAUGAUGUUUUGUUUCCCUUCCCAGAAUCUCUGUUAUGUAUUGGUGUUGAUGUUUUCUUCACUUGGAGAUGCAAAAACAGCCCGAGACAGUUCAGGCCGAGGAUUCUCCCUCGCUCGAGGAUUCCAGUAACUAUGAGUUCUAGGCGAAGAUGUAUGUUUCCUACAGACAUUUUCAGUUUGACGAGAGCUUUGCCAUUCAGCUUGAAAAAGUAUGUUCCGUCUAGGACAGAGAACCAUGAGUAUCACCACUGUUGGAGGAAAAAGCUAGAGCAAUUAUGUUUCUACUUUCAUGCAUUAUGGUUGUCUAUUCUGGGAAGGAUAGAGUUUACAUAUUUCGUAUGCCUAAAUAGUGAAGGUACUUUAUUUUCAUUUAAUUGUUUCUAUGCUAUUCUCUCAUUGUCUGUGUUGGCUAAGAAAUACUAAUGUAAAUAUUCUUCGAUUUGAAAAGUUGUCAUCUCUCAUUUUUUUCGUUUUACCGCUUUCUUGUGCUACAGUUUGUUAGGCAAAUUUAGCUUUCAAUUCAACAAUUUGCUUGCUUUCUAAAGCAUGUACUACUGUUGAAGUUCAGUAUAUCAAGUAAUAAUAGUGUGUUAAAAUGAAUAAUACACAUUGAGCUAUAUAUAUUUGCUGCAAUUCGGGGCUGCUGUUGUAAUGUGGUAUAUCUCCUCCCUUGUAAUAUGUAAGGUUGAAGUGACAGUUUAAUAUUCUUCUGCUCAGCAGCACCAAGUAAGUGUUUGCAGCCUUUCUGUGCUACAUGUGAGUUCAGUUUACUGCUAACUGCAGUUGUUUAUGGAUUAGUGUAUUUUGUUGUAGGUUAAAUGGAGUUAGUAAGACCAUAUUUGAUGCUGAUCAUAAGAUACUAACGGGCUCCAUGUAAUCCCAAGUGCAUUGCACAACAAUUGUCAUUUUGCAAGAUCUUCUAGAGGGCUAUAUGUCCUAUGCUCCUCUUGAUGACAUAUAUGAGGACUCGCAACCCUGAGCCUGGAAGACAACCGUUGAGGCGGUGGUCAUGGGGCAACGAUAGUCGAUAGCUACUAUCAGAACAUAAACGUAUGGCCCUCCUUGUUGCCAUGAAGGAUUAUCGUCUAUUGGAUUUGCAGAACCAGUUAAUGACAAGAUGAUGGCAGUAGCAAUGGAGGGUCGUGGUUUCUGAAUGCUGAGACUUCCAGUUUUUAGGAUGGGUUAUUUAGUAUGAACAAAUAUGGCAACAUUCAUUAGUCGUACUGUUUCUUGAGGUGAUGUCACUGCUACAGGUAUGACAUUAUCGUUGGACCUUCAACUAUAUUUAUAUUAUGUAUAUGCUUCCAGAGAGUACUUGUUUCUGUACUAUAUGCUAAAUGAAAAAAAAAUCCUUUUAUGCUAAAACAUGACAUGGCUAAUUAGUAAUUGCACUACAUUCCUGAUAACUUUUAAACUUUUGGAAGGCAUGACAGUGUUCAACCUUGAUUAGGUACGUACAUAAAGUACUACCCUUUAACGAUUUGAAAAGGCAUGUCCUGUGAUACAACUCGCCUUGCUAACUGUGCUACAAAGUGUCUAAACCUUGCAUUUUAUAUCAGGAUGGUAAAAUUUCAACAAUACAUCAUCGUUCAAACUAAACUGAACUUGAUAGAGUUUCACCGGAUGCAAAACCACCAUUGAUAAUUUAGCUAAUCGCUCAUGAAGUUGGUGGUUACUCUACACUGCAGAGUACUGUAAAAUAGGAAAACACUAAUAAAUGUUGUAGUUGUAUAUUGACUAUAAGCGAACCAGUUCUAAUUGCUAAUUAAAAUACAAAUGAAGGAGCACUUGCGUGAUCAUACUGCAAUUAAUUUAACGUACCUUAGAUUUGAAAGACUGCUUGUUUUCCCCCUUCUAUUGCCAAGUUCAUGGUUUCCUCGUUGUCAUAUUGUUCACAAAGAAUUUUUUCUCCGAGGUUCCUGAACCCAAUAGUUGAAUGCCCCCCAGUCAAAUUUGGGAAUGGAUGCUUUAAUGUAGAAGCCCAUCUAAUAUAAGGAAAUGAGGACAGGGCAACCAUAGCUUACUUGGCAGAAACCUGCUCCAGGUUCGUAUAAGCUGAAUACUGGCGCAAGUUACUUUGAUGAUGGAACAGGUUCAGUUGCUGCAGUGCUUAGAAACUCGUGAGGGGAAGCUAUCGCAGGAGCUUCCGAGCUAAUUGACCAUGUUCUUAAUGCCCAAACUUCUGAAACUUUGGCGCUGUUGCAAGGUUUGAAGCUUCUUUCAGAGAUUGGGUGCACCAAGGUGACAGUCGAAUCAGAUUGUCUAGAACUGAUUGAAGCACGUAGUGGAAAAAUUGAGAUUUUGGGUCCCAAUGUAGCAAUACUUGUGGACUGUUUUCAUAUUGCUCAUGAAAUUCCUGGAAUUUGUUUCAAGCAUUGUCCAAGUGAAGCUAGCAAAUUCCAUUUGGUUUCACAGAGGAUAGGCCCAUUGGAUCUGUUGAUGCUACUGUGUUUCGACUUGAGAUCAGAUACUUCUGUUUCAGCGUAAAGGUCGACAAGUGCCACCGCCACUCCCUAUGUUGUUUCUAUUCUAACGCGAUCUACUUGAGGUGAGACCAGGAGACAAACGUCUUUCACUCCUAUGGGUCCAACUCCUAAUGAUUGAUGAUGUACAAUGUGUCUAAUUCCAGUUCAAACGUCUUUCACUUGAUUUGCUUGACCUCUUAUUUUGUCUUGCAUAUUUUUAGAUGAUAUUAGUAGUCACUCGAGCAUCAAUUUUUUCUAUGUUCACUACAAGUUCUUUUCCUUUCAAAAUUAAUCUUCCUUUGUGCUAAAUGUUCUUUCUUACUGAACUAUCACUCCAAUUGUAAGUUGCCUGUUUGGCAUAAAGGUUGGAUAUAUGGUGAUAUGGUAAAUUAAGAAAA